CCUACGGGUGGCAGCAGUGGGGAAUAUUGCACAAUGGGGGGAACCCUGAUGCAGCGACGCCGCGUGUGGGAAGACGGUCCUCUGGAUUGUAAACCACUGUCCCCAGGGACGAAAAUGACGGUACCUGGGGAGGAAGCUCCGGCUAACUACGUGCCAGCAGCCGCGGUAAUACGUAGGGAGCGAGCGUUGUCCGGAAUUACUGGGUGAAAAGGGAGCGUAGGCGGGGAUGCAAGUUGGGUGUCAAGACUACCGGCUAAACUGGUAGUCGCACUCAAAACUGCAGCUCUUGAGUGAAGUAGAGGCAGGCGGAAUUCCUAGUGUAGCGGUGAAAUGCGUAGAUAUUAGGAGGAACACCAGUGGCGAAGGCGGCCUGCUGGGCUGUUACUGACGCUGAGGCUCGAAAGUGUGGGGAGCAAACAGGAUUAGAUACCCCUGUAGUC
rnacentral:rRNA from 1 species